UACGGAGGGCGCAAGCGUUGUUCGGAAUCACUGGGCGUAAAGCGCGUGUAGGCGGCUUGGUAAGUCGGGUGUGAAAGCCCGGGGCCUAACCCCGGAACUGCACUCGAUACUGCCUCGCUCGAGUCCCGGAGAGGAUGGUGGAAUUCCCGGUGUAGUGGUGAAAUACGUAGAUAUCGGGAGGAACACCAGCGGCGAAGGCGGCAAGCUGGACCGCGCCUGACGCUGAGGGGCGAUAGCACGGGGAGCUAACGGG
rnacentral:rRNA from 1 species